CAUCUAAGGAAGGCAGCAGGCGCGCAAAUUACCCAAUUCUAACAGCAUAAGAGAGGUAGUGACAAGAAAUAACAGUACAAGGCAGUUAAAAUGCUUUGUAAUUGGAAUGAUAGAAAUUUAAAUACUUUUUAAAGUAUCAAUUGGAGGGCAAGUCUGGUGCCAGCAGCCGCGGUAAUUCCAGCUCCAAUAGCGUAUAUUAAAAUUGUUGCAGUUAAAAAGCUCGUAGUUGAAUUUUUGCUAAAAAUAACCGGUCUGCUUUUAUUAAUAAAAGUGGUAUCUUGGUGUGUUUUUAGCAAUAAUGUCCUUUGAAAUGUUUUUUACUUUAUUGUAAGAGGCAAUUUUCAGGAUUUUUACUUUGAGAAAAUUAGAGUGUUUCAAGCAGGCUAACGUUUUGAAUACUGCAGCAUGGAAUAAUAAAAUAGGAUUUUAGUUCUACGUUAUUGGUUUUAAGAACUAAAUUAAUGAUUGAUAGGAGCAGUUGGGGGCAUUUGUAUUUAA
rnacentral:rRNA from 1 species